GCCUAAAGCGUCCGUAGCCGGCUCUGUAAGUUUUCGGUUAAAUCUGUACGCUUAACGUACAGGCUGCUGGAAAUACUGCAGGGCUAGGGAGUGGGAGAGGUAGACGGUACUCGGGAGGAAGUGGUAAAAUGCUUUGAUCUCUCGAUGACCACCUGUGGCGAAGGCGGUCUACCAGAACACGUCCGACGGUGAGGGAUGAAAGCUGGGGGAGCAAACCGGAUUAGAUACCCGGGUAGUCCCAGCUGUAAACUAUGCAAACUCAGUGAUGCACUGGCUUGUGGCCAGUGCAGUGUUGCAGGGAAGCCGUUAAGUUUGCCGCCUGGGAAGUACGUACGCAAGUAUGAAACUUAAAGGAAUUGGCGGGGGAGCACCACAAGGGGUGAAGCCUGCGGUUCAAUUGGAGUCAACGCCAGAAAUCUUACCCGGAGAGACAGCAGAAUGAAGGUCAAGCUGAAGACUUUACCAGACAAGCUGAGAGGUGGUGCAUGGCCGCCGCCAGCUCGUGCCGUGAGAUGUCCUGUUAAGUCAGGUAACGAGCGAGAUCCCUGCCUCUAGUUGCCACCAUUACUCUCAGGAGUAGUGGGGCGAAUUAGCGGGACCGCCGCAGUUAAUGCGGAGGAAGGAAGGGGCCACGACAGGUCAGUAUGCCC
rnacentral:rRNA from 1 species